GUGCCAGCAGCCGCGGUAAUACAGAGGGUGCAAGCGUUAAUCGGAUUUACUGGGCGUAAAGCGUGCGUAGGUGGCGAUUUAAGUCGGAUGUGAAAGCCCUGGGCUUAACCUGGGAACUGCAUUCGAUACUGGGUUGCUAGAGAUCGGUAGAGGGCAGCGGAAUUCCGGGUGUAGCGGUGAAAUGCGUAGAUAUCCGGAGGAACACCGAUGGCGAAGGCAACUGCCUGGGCCUGAUCUGACACUGAGGCACGAAAGCGUGGGUAGCAAACAGGAUUAGAUACCCCAGUAGUCC
rnacentral:rRNA from 1 species